GUGGCAUACGGCUCAGUAACACGUAGUCAACAUGCCCAGGGGACGUGGAUAACCUCGGGAAACUGAGGAUAAACCGCGAUAGGCCAUGAUUUCUGGAAUGGUUCAUGGCCGAAAUCUAUAUGGCCCCUGGAUUGGACUGCGGCCGAUCAGGCUGUUGGUGAGGUAAUGGCCCACCAAACCUGUAACCGGUACGGGCUCUGAGAGGAGGAGCCCGGAGAUGGGCACUGAGACAAGGGCCCAGGCCCUAUGGGGCGCAGCAGGCGCGAAAUCUCUGCAAUAGGCGAAAGCUUGACAGGGUUACUCUGAGUGGUUCCCGUUAAGGGGAUCUUUUGGCACCUUUAAAAAUGGUGCAGAAUAAGGGGUGGGCAAGUCUGGUGUCAGCCGCCGCGGUAAUACCAGCACCCCGAGUGGUCGGGACGAUUAUUGGGCCUAAAGCAUCCGUAGCCGGUACUGCAAGUCUUCCGUUAAAUCCACCUGCUUAACAGUUGGGCUGCGGGGGAUACUACAGCGCUAGGAGGCGGGAGAGGCAAGCGGUACUCAAUGGGUAGGGGUAAAAUCCGCUGAUCCAUUGAAGACCACCAGUGGCGAAGGCGGCUUGCCAGAACGCGCUCGACGGUGAGGGAUGAAAGCUGGGGGAGCAAACCGGAUUAGAUACCCGGGUAGUCCCAGCUGU
rnacentral:rRNA from 1 species